GCAGGGAAGAGGAAGAAAGAGAGUUUCUAAGAGCGAUGGGAAUAGGAACAUAGAGGAAAGCCAAAAGCAGAAUUUUCUCCUCCAGGGUUGGAGGUAGAGAUUUGCUUUGUGUUUUCCCGAUGCCUCCUAUUCCUACUGAUCUUAGCUACUCCUUCCUCUUCCUUUUAGCU
rnacentral:pre_miRNA from 1 species